UGAGGGGCUGAGCCUCCCCCAAGAUGGCGCCCUCGGUACCUUCCGGAAGUGACCCAAAACAUGUAACAACGUUUCUGUUUCAGUGGUACUAAGUACAGACUUUACAGUCCAGGCUGGUAUGGUGGUUUAUUGGCACUUCACCCUGAAUAUGGUGGUUUUGCCACUGCCAGACAGAAGGAAAAGUUGGACAAUGAAAAGAGACACUGCUUCAAGUUCAAACAAUAACACCUGCAUAAUUCCAUGAAGAAGCCUGGCUUUUUUCCACAAAAGUUGCUUAGGAAGUAAUUGAUUGGAAUGCCACGUAGAAAUGAAAGCAAAAGAAAAGCUAAACAUACUGACUUUGGAGUUACAAUUAUAUAUAUGUAUGCAAAUGUAUGAAUACACACAAAAACAAAAUUCUGAGAUAGCACAUGGGAAAAAGAUCGUAAAUUGGUAUCCAGGUCUCCAUAGAGAGACACUGAGCAAGUGGAGGAAACAACUUAUCAAUUUAUGCAAUGCACAAGCCCUUCUGCAUUCCUUGUUACAUGAAAAUGCAUUUAUGCCAAUGCUUCUACAAAGGCAAUACUGCAAAGCACUUGAACAGUUAGCUCAAUUGCUUUAACUCCUGCAAAAAAAUAUGUCAUUUUCAAAUAUGGGUACAUACAAACUCACAAGAAUUAUAACUGUUCUUCACACAUUAUACAGUGCAGCACCCAUACAAUCACUUAAUGUUGUACGUUAGAGAAAUUUCAAUGGCUCUGACAACUAAACUUCAUUGUUAGAACAUAUCUGAAGUGUUGUACUCUGCACUGCCAAACCUUAACUAGUGUAAAGCACUACACUUCUUCAUUCUAUCAGACCAGACUCUGGCUGUACCUCCAAGAAUGCAGAUGGACAUCUCAGCACAAACUACUUUAGACAGAUGCAUUCCACUUUUUGGUUUUGCUUGUUUCAUAUUAUUUACAAGAAUUCAUAGAAAUAUGUUAAACUAUAGGACCACACUGAUGUCACAAUUAAAAAAAAAUCAGAC
ensembl:lncRNA